AGGCGGCCCUUAGCCUCCCGGGUGCCGCUCGGAGAGCUGGGAACCGACGCUUUGUCUUCCGGCGAGAAGUGCAGCCUCCUGGCCGCUCGGUUCAUCCUGACUCGGCAUGGCGAGGCGCAGCGGAGGCGCUCUGAGCAGGACCCUGGGCCAACCCACGAAAUAUCAACAGCACCUCUAUUUGUGUGACAACUGAAACCGCUCCUGUAUUUCCAACACCUCUCGAAGGACAGGACACCUGGUGAGAACCCCGCUGAUGGAGAGAAAGGCAGGGAACAUGCAUACUGGACUGUGAUGGGGAUAUAAAUCCCGAAGAGGUAGGAGUUUAUCAUCUGCCAGAGCAGGUUUUUACUGGCGUAACAACCCUUUCAAGCCUGGAGCUACUCCAAACCGAAGGAUGAAAAUGAGAAGAAAAAUGUUAUUGCAAACAGGUCCGGUGGUACGUGUGCUCCAGCAGGAGCUGGUUGUAGCAAAUCGUUUCACUUCAAACCUGCAUGGAUAUGUUAGACAGUAUUUGGAAGUAAUUAAUUUCUGGUCAAUUCAACCCAACAUUAUGCCAACUUUUGCAUUUAUUGUAGACACUAUUUUAAGUACUAGAGAUUAAAUUUUCAUCACCAAAACAUGAAAAUAGCAGCUACUGCCCUAACCGGUUUGGCUCAGUGGAUAGAGCGUCGGCCUGUGGACUGAAGGGUCCCAGG